rnacentral:rRNA from 1 species
GCCUAACCUAACACACAAUAAAUAACCCAUUGUUCGCCAAACAACUACGAGUAAAAACUUAAAACUUAAAAGACUUGACGGUACUUCACACCACCCUAGAGGAGCCUGUCUAAUAACCGAUACUCCACGAUUAACCCAACCCACCCUAGCCACACAGUCUAUAUACCGCCAUCGCCAGCCUACCUUGUGAAAGAAACAAAGUAAACACAACAGCCACCACUAAUACGAUAGGUCGAGGUGUAACUAAUGGGAGGGAAAAAGAUGGGCUACAUUUUCUAACACAGAAAACACGAAUUAAACUAUGAAAAUAGAAACCGAAGGCGGAUUUAGCAGUAUGUUAAGGACAAACUGCUUAACAGAAAUAAAUGCAAUGAAGUGCGUACACACCGCCCGUCAUCCCUGUAAAAAACAAUAAGACUUCAUAAACACAAAGAACCAACUAAACAGGGCAAGUCGUAACAUGGUAAGCGUACUGGAAAGUGCGCUUAGAAA